rnacentral:rRNA from 1 species
GACGAACGCUAGCGGCGUGCUUAACACAUGCAAGUCGAGCGGUAAGGCCCUUCGGGGUACACGAGCGGCGAACGGGUGAGUAACACGUGGGUGAUCUGCCUUGCACUUCGGGAUAAGCCUGGGAAACUGGGUCUAAUACCGGAUAUGACCYYGNAWYGCAUGKUYYGGGGUGGAAAGAUUUAUCGGUGCGAGAUGGGCCCGCGGCCUAUCAGCUUGUUGGUGAGGUAACGGCUCACCAAGGCGACGACGGGUAGCCGACCUGAGAGGGUGACCGGCCACACUGGGACUGAGACACGGCCCAGACUCCUACGGGAGGCAGCAGUGGGGAAUAUUGCACAAUGGGCGCAAGCCUGAUGCAGCGACGCCGCGUGCGGGAUGACGGCCUUCGGGUUGUAAACCGCUUUUGACAGGGACGAAGCGCAAGUGACUGUACCUGUAGAAUAAGGACCGGCCAACUACGUG